rnacentral:rRNA from 1 species
UACGGGAGGCAGCAGUGGGGAAUAUUGCACAAUGGGCGCAAGCCUGAUGCAGCCAUGCCACGUGUAUGAAGAAGGCCUUCGGGUUGUAAAGUACUUUCAGUCGUGAGGAAGGUGUUAAGGUUAAUAACCUUAGCAAUUGACGUUAGCGACAGAAGAAGCACCGGCUAACUCCGUGCCAGCAGCCGCGGUAAUACGGAGGGUGCGAGCGUUAAUCGGAAUUACUGGGCGUAAAGGGCACGCAGGCGGUUAAUUAAGUUGGAUGUGAAAUCCCCGGGCUUAACCUGGGAAUGGCAUUCAAGACUGGUUAGCUAGAGUCUUGUAGAGGGGGUAGAAUUCCAUGUGUAGCGGUGAAAUGCGUAGAGAUGUGGAGGAAUACCGGUGGCGAAGGCGGCCCCUGGACAAAGACUGACGCUCAUGUGCGAAAGCGUGGGGAGCAAACAGGGAUUAGAUACC